rnacentral:rRNA from 1 species
AUGGAAGGGUUAGUACCAUCCAUCCGCUUGCUGGUGGGCAUUCAACAACCAACGGACCUGGAUGCAGCGUAUGCGUUGGCCUUGCUGUUUGAAGAACUGGGAGAUCACUCAUUUCAGCCAGCAGCUUCCGCUAGUUCGGUUGCUCACAGCAAGAAAAAAUUUCUUCCUUCAGCUCGCAGUGUUGUUGUCAGUAAAACAGUGGAGGACAGGCAUGCUGCAGAAUCAAGCCGUCCAGCUCCAGUUGAGGACCGAUGGUCAGCCCUGCGUGCCUAUAGGAAAUCUAAAGGACUCUGUUUCAUUUGCGGAGAGCGUUGGGCAAGAGAUCACUAUUGUAAACAGGAAGUUCAACUGCACGCUGUGCAGGAAAUGCUGGAGUAUGUGCAGAAUAUGCCCACAGAUACGAGCGAUACUGAAAUUGAGAGUACUGGAGAAGUCAAUGCUAUUUGUAUUUCUGUUGCAGCUUUGGGAGAACCAUCUGUUACUACAAUUGCAACAAUGAAACUGACAGUACAGUUGCAAGGGCACAAGCUCACUUUUCUUGUGGAUUCUGGAAGUACUCACUCCUUCCUGGAUUGUGCAAUUGCUGCCCAAAUUAAAGGAGUAGCUGAUAUGCCUGUUAAGAUGGUCAAGGUUGCAAAUCGAAAUUUAGUUCCCUACAACCAACAACUGCAGUCAGGAGUUUGGUCAGUAGAUGGGCACAAGUUCACUAGUGAUUUUAAUAUUUUUCCUCUGGGAUCUUAUAAUGGUAUUCUGGGUCUAGACUGGUUGGCCACACAUAGCCCCAUGCAAGUGGACUGGGCUGAACACUGGUUAUCUUUUGACGGAAAUCGAACUCCUAUCACAUUACUAGGUGAAGAUGCUACUCCUAGUUUUGUAGCUAUGAUUGAACUGUCGUCUCUGCUUUUGUCCAAGAACACAGAACAAACUAAAUUGCCUGCUGAAAUUCAGGAAAUUCUCAAUACAUAUGCAUUCGUGUUUGAAGCUCCCAUUGGCCUCCCUCCUAGGAGGAAAUAUGACCACACUAUUCCCCUUAUUCCAGGUGUUUCUCCUGUGUCUAUUAGACCAUACAGACUUCCACCCGCUCUCAAGGAUGAGGUGGAGAAGCAAGUGAAGGAAAUGUUGGACUCAGGUAUCAUCAGGCCUAGCACUAGUGCUUUUUCAUCACCUAUGAUCAUGGUUUAG